rnacentral:rRNA from 1 species
UUUUAUGUACAUGCCUACAACAUAGCGUCAAUGCACUGGGUCCCGUUAGAACUCCAUAGUUAACUGUGUUUGGGCUAGAGUAGUACUGGGAUGAGUUACCACCCGGAAAGUCCUAUUGUAUUACAU